CUGCGGAAGGAUCAUUAACACAUGCUUAACGCAUUAAUAAUCCAAAACCUAUGACUAGUUUAUGUGAUGCGCCUGGCACUCGUGUCAGGUGUAAAAUAACCUAAACUUUUCAUUUUAUUCAGUAUAUCUAAUCUAAAAAAUAAGAAAAUUUUCAACGAUGGAUAUCUGGGUUCCCAUAACGAUGAAGAACGCAGCGAAAUGCGAUACGCAAUGCGAAUAGCAGAGCUCCGCGAGACAUCAGAUCUUUGAACGCAAAUGGCGCUGGCUUGCCAGCAUGUUUGUUUCAGUGUGUUAGGAGAGCAAAACUCAUCAUUUAUUUGAAUGCGAUUGAAGUGCCUUGCAUUUCUCUCGUUAAAUAAGAAAGCGCGAGGCUGCUUCGCCUCGUGAACGAAGUAGUCCCAAUUUAUUGUGAUCUCGUUUACGAUGAAGCAUUCCAUCUAAGCGCUUUUCUAAAAUUAUCUCCAAUUUUGACACCUGAAAUCAAGCAAGGCUACCCGCUGAACUU
rnacentral:rRNA from 1 species